rnacentral:rRNA from 1 species
UACGUAGGGUGCAAGCGUUAAUCGGAAUUACUGGGCGUAAAGCGUGCGCAGGCGGUGAUGUAAGACAGGUGUGAAAUCCCCCGGGCUUAACCUGGGAACUGCAUUUGUGACUGCAUCGCUGGAGUGCGGCAGAGGGGGAUGGAAUUCCGCGUGUAGCAGUGAAAUGCGUAGAUAUGCGGAGGAACACCGAUGGCGAAGGCAAUCCCCUGGGCCUGCACUGACGCUCAUGCACGAAAGCGUGGGGAGCAAACAGG